GACGAACGCUGGCGUCGUGCUUAACACAUGCAAGUCGAACUUUAAGGCCCUUCGGGGUACACGAGUGGCUAACGGGUGAGUAACACGUGGGUGCUCUGCCCUGCACUUCGGGACAAGCCUGGGAAACUGGGCCUACUACCGGACAGGACCACUGCCUGCCCGGGUGGUGGGGGAAAUCUGUUGCGGUGUGGGAUGGGCCCGCGGCCUAUCAGCUUGUUGGUGGGGUGGUGGCCCACCAAGGCGACGACGGGUAGCCGGCCUGGGAGGGUGACCGGCCACACUGGGACUGAGGCACGGCCCAGACUCCUACGGGAGGCAGCAGUGGGGAAUAUUGCACAAUGGGCGCAAGCCUGAUGCAGCGACGCCGCGUGAGGGAUGACGGCCUUCGGGUUGUAAAGCUCUUUUACCCGGGACGAUAAUGACUGUACCGGGAGAAUAAGCCACGGCUAACUACGUGCCAGCAGCCGCAGUAA
rnacentral:rRNA from 1 species